rnacentral:pre_miRNA from 1 species
UGAUCAUGGCAAUGUCUGGGCUUAGCGAGGCGGUCACGAGCUUAGCGUGCUUUUGGGUUUCUUCAUGGUCCUUCUUCGUGCUAAGCUUGAGCUUGCCUGCUAAGCGAGGAGGUGCGUUGAGCC